rnacentral:rRNA from 1 species
GCAGUCGAACGGCAGCACAGGGGAGCUUGCUCCUUGGGUGGCGAGUGGCGGACGGGUGAGGAAUACAUCGGAAUCUACUUUUUCGUGGGGGAUAACGUAGGGAAACUUACGCUAAUACCGCAUACGACCUACGGGUGAAAGCAGGGGACCUUCGGGCCUUGCGCGAUUGAAUGAGCCGAUGUCGGAUUAGCUAGUUGGCGGGGUAAAGGCCCACCAAGGCGACGAUCCGUAGCUGGUCUGAGAGGAUGAUCAGCCACACUGGAACUGAGACACGGUCCAGACUCCUACGGGAGGCAGCAGUGGGGAAUAUUGGACAAUGGGCGCAAGCCUGAUCCAGCCAUACCGCGUGGGUGAAGAAGGCCUUCGGGUUGUAAAGCCCUUUUGUUGGGAAAGAAAUCCAGCUGGCUAAUACCCGGUUGGGAUGACGGUACCCAAAGAAUAAGCACCGGCUAACUUCGUGCCAGCAGCCGCGGUAAUACGAAGGGUGCAAGCGUUACUCGGAAUUACUGGGCGUAAAGCGUGCGUAGGUGGUCGUUUAAGUCCGUUGUGAAAGCCCUGGGCUCAACCUGGGAACUGCAGUGGAUACUGGGCGACUAGAGUGUGGUAGAGGGUAGCGGAAUUCCUGGUGUAGCAGUGAAAUGCGUAGAGAUCAGGAGGAACAUCCAUGGCGAAGGCAGCUACCUGGACCAACACUGACACUGAGGCACGAAAGCGUGGGGAGCAGACAGGAUUAGAUACCCUGGUAGUGCACGCCCUAAACGAUGCGAACUGGAUGUUGGGUGCAAUUUGGCACGCAGUAUCGAAGCUAACGCGUUAAGUUCGCCGCCUGAGGAGUACGGUCGCAGGACUGAAACUCAAAGGAAUUGACGGGGGCCCACACAGCGGUGGAGUAUGUGGUUUAAUUCGAUGCAGCACGAAGAACCUUACCUGGGCUUGACAUGUCAAGAACUUUCCGAGAUGGAUUGCUGCCUCCGGAACUC